rnacentral:rRNA from 1 species
CGAGUGGCGGACGGGUGAGUAAUGUCGGGGAAACUGCCCGAUGGAGGGGGAUAACUACUGGAAACGGUAGCUAAUACCGCAUAACGUCGCAAGACCAAAGAGGGGGACCUUCGGGCCUCUUGCCAUCGGAUGUGCCCAGAUGGGAUUAGCUAGUAGGUGGGGUAACGGCUCACCUAGGCGACGAUCCCUAGCUGGUCUGAGAGGAUGACCAGCCACACUGGAACUGAGACACGGCCCAG